rnacentral:lncRNA from 1 species
UUGGGCUUGCCUCACCAAUUUCAUCCUAGCAAACCUAACUCUCCUUGCUUCAGACAUUUCGUACCAUCCAAAAUAAUGGUCCAUACCUGAUUUUCAAUCUAGGUACUCUCUCGGAUCUAGACAACCAUCAAAACUUGGAGCUUCAACUUUCACAUUCCUAAGAAUAUGCUCAUCUUGAUCGAACUGGUUAUGGUGCGGACGUGCCCCUAUAGGUCGAUCAAGUUCUAGAUUCCUACCUCUUUGUCCUAUAGGUAGUCGGAGAGACUCAGGUUCAGGUUAUUUCUACCUAGCUUCUUCUAAUACCACUAUUCUCUCAUCCAUGGCUUUCAUAAAAUUUUUCAUGUCAUCAAACUUUUCAGUCAGAGCAUUAAUGAU